GUGGGGAAUAUUGGACAAUGGGCGAAAGCCUGAUCCAGCCAUGCAGCGUGUGUGAAGAAGGUCUUCGGAUUGUAAAGCACUUUAAGUUGGGAGGAAGGGCAGUAAGUUAAUACCUUGCUGUUUUGACGUUACCGACAGAAUAAGCACCGGCUAACUUCGUGCCAGCAGCCGCGGUAAUACGAAGGGUGCAAGCGUUAAUCGGAAUUACUGGGCGUAAAGCGCGCGUAGGUGGUUUUGUAAGUUGGAGGUGAAAUCCCCGGGCUCAACCUGGGAACUGCCUCCAAAACUGCAUGACUAGAGUACGGUAGAGGGUAGUGGAAUUUCCUGUGUAGCGGUGAAAUGCGUAGAUAUAGGAAGGAACACCAGUGGCGAAGGCGACUACCUGGACUGAUACUGACACUGAGGUGCGAAAGCGUGGGGAGCAAACAGGAUUAGAAACCCGUGUAGUCC
rnacentral:rRNA from 1 species